rnacentral:rRNA from 1 species
UGGACCUGAUAGCAGACAAAGAAACCU